ACCACGAAUUGUAGGAGCUCGGCCGAAAAUCGAUUGAACGGUUACAAAGCGCCAAUUAUAAAUAAUAAUAUCAUAUCAGCAGCUGUAGUAUCUGCACAAGAUAUUUAAAUGGUCAUGUUUUGUUUUUUUUUUCAACCCACCUCAGUGAUGUGCUUUCUACAAUCAUAAUUCGAUAUACCAUAUUGCAGCACCAAAAAAGAUGAUACACAUGUUAUUUGAGCAAAUAUUUCGAGUAUUUAUUUUUUACUUUUUAUAUGGCAUAGUAGGUUAUGCCUUCACUUUUCAUUCAGACAUAAAGUACGCAUUUAUAGACCUUCUUGAAAUAUAUUUUGUCAUCAUUUUAAUUGUUCGCCUCAUUUUGUGUACAAAAAUUAUAAUACAUAUAAACAUUAAAUGUCAUUUAAAAAUAGUAUUUUUAUUAUCAUACAUGUGUAUGUAAGUUGGAAAACUCCCAAUUGUAAAAGGUUUUGAUUGCAAUAAAAAAAAGUUAUAAAAGAUAUCCUUGGGCAAUUCUUAUACUUAAAAAUCUAUUGUUGAUUGCUCUUGGUGUAGGUGAUAAGGAAGCAGCUAUUGGUCAGGCUGUGAGAAGUACGUGUUUAAUGAGCAACACAGUUGAAAGUAAACAGUAUUUAAAGUCAGUUAAUAUUAUGAUCUUUAAAUUAACUAAAAUUAUUUUUUAAUUAAUUAAUUAUUAAUAAAAAUCAUUGCACCGAAUAUGCUGACAAAAUAGCUUAAUUUUAUAGUGAUUAUCAUUUCACUCAAUUGAGGAUUUAAAGAGUGUCGACGAUAACACUAAUGGAUUGAUUAACUACUAGUUUUUAAUAACGGCACUACAGAACGCGAAUUAUUCUACUUUAUUAAAUUAUAUUUUAUGACAAUGUACAAUGAAUGUAUGAUCGGGUAUUUAACUUGUUGGCUCUUAAAAUAUCUUAUGUAAUUUUUUAUUUAUAUACUAUUGGUGUUUUGUUAUUAUUAAUAAAAUGAUCUCCAUCGAUUUCUGAAGCCGAAUAAACUUGCAUUUCUUCUUAUUUUGUUUGUAAUCUAGUUGAUCGAAAAAAAAUUGUAAAUACAUUCAAACUAUAACAAUACCCAAGGUGGAGUCAUGGCUUUCCUUGAAAGGAUAAAUAUAUGUAUAAGCUGAAAUUUAAAGAUAGCGUCAGAUUCUGAAAUAAAAUGCUUGGUUUUGGCUCCAAGAGACAUGCGGACGUACUUGCGGAAAGUGCUUUCGACACGCGUGCAAAAUGCGAAAAUAGAUAAAUAUUAAUUCAACUGAACUUAAUGCAGAAUUCUUAUUCCGCUGCUACUUUUUCUAAAUUUAUUCUUGCUUCACAAUAGUUGUUACUCUCGUUAUUUUACGUUUCUUUCAAUUAUACAAAGGUUAAUAUUUAUAGUCAAACAACUUUGGGCAAGUCGGGGGUUGAAGUUU